GACGAACGCUGGCGGCGUGCUUCAUACAUGCAAGUCGAACGAGAAGCUGCCUCCUGUCAGUUGCUCGUGGCGCGCGCGUGUGUAAUAUGUAGGAAAUCUGCCCUCAGCAGGCUGACAACAGCGGGAAACUUCUGCUAAUACCCCAUAUAUGCGUGACUGUCAUGCUGUUCUUGAAAACGACGGUGCCGAAAGAUGAGCCUGCAUCUGAUUAGCUAGUUGGUUGUGUAAUUGACUACCAAGGGGAGGAUCAGUAGCUGGCGUGCGAGGAUGAGCAGCCAGGAGGGGAGAGAGACACGGGCCAUACUCCGACGGGAGGCAGCAGGAGGGAAGUUUGCGGAAGGGGAGAAAGCCUGAGGGAGCAACGGCGCGGGAAGGAGGAAGCCGGGCGGGGUGCAAAGUUCUGUAAGGAGGGACGAAACGUGACGGUACCCAGAGAGGAAGCACCGGCUAACUCCGUG
rnacentral:rRNA from 1 species